rnacentral:tRNA from 1 species
GGAGGAGUACCCAAGCGGUUUACGGGAGCACGCUGCUAAUGUGCCAAAGGAGAAAUCCUUUCGUGGGUUCGAAUCCCACCUCCUCCG